rfam:Nematostella vectensis strain CH2 x CH6 NEMVEscaffold_11_Cont2387, whole genome shotgun sequence.
GUCGGCUACGGUGACGUCUAUCCCGUCACACCUUUAGGGAAACUUGUGGGUUCCCUGUGUUGCAUCUCUGGUAUCAUUUUUAUUGCACUCCCGAUUCCAACGAUUGUGAGUAAU